rnacentral:tRNA from 1 species
GCCGACUUGGCGCAAUUGGUAGCGCACCUAACUUGUAAUUAGGGGGUUACGGGUUCGAGUCCCGUAGUCGGCU